rnacentral:rRNA from 1 species
UGAUCAGCCACACUGGGACUGACACACGGUCCAGACUCCUACGGGAGGCAGCAGUGAGGAAUUUUGCGCAAUGGGGGAAACCCUGACGCAGCAACGCCGCGUGAGUGAUGAAGGCCUUAGGGUCGUAAAGCUCUGUCAAGUGGAAAGAAAAUGCAAAGUGCUAAUAUCGCUUUGCACUGACGGUACCACUGAAGGAAGCACCGGCUAACUCCGUGCCAGCAGCCGCGGUAAUACGGGGGGUGCAAGCGUUAUUCGGAAUUAUUGGGCGUAAAGCGCACGCAGGCGGUGUGGUCAGUCAGAUGUGAAAGCCCGGGGCUCAACCCCGGAAGUGCAUUUGAAACAGCCACACUUGAGUACUGGAGAGGAAAGGGGAAUUCCUGGUGUAGAGGUGAAAUUCGUAGAUAUCAGGAGGAACACCGGUGGCGAAGGCGCCUUUCUGGACAGAUACUGACGCUGAGGUACGAAGGUGUGGGUAGCGAACAGGAUUAGAUACCCUGGUAGUCCACACAGUAAACGUUGUACAUUAGGUGUUGCGGGUAUUGACCCCUGCAGUGCCGGAGCUAACGCAUUAAGUGUACCGCCUGGGGAGUACGGUCGCAAGACUAAAACUCAAAGAAAUUGACGGGGGCCCGCACAAGCGGUGGAGCAUGUGGUUUAAUUCGACGCAACGCGAAGAACCUUACCUGGAUUUGACAUCCCGGGAAUCUCUUUGAAAAAAGAGAGUGCCCUUCGGGGAACCCGGUGACAGGUGCUGCAUGGCUGUCGUCAGCUCGUGUCGUGAGAUGUUGGGUUAAGUCCCGCAACGAGCGCAACCCCUUUCUUCAGUUACCAGCAUUCAGUUGGGGACUCUGAAGAUACUGCCCC